rnacentral:rRNA from 1 species
GAUGAACGCUAGCUACAGGCUUAACACAUGCAAGUCGAGGGGAAACGAUAUUGGAAGCUUGCUUCCGAUAGGCGUCGACCGGCGCACGGGUGAGUAACGCGUAUCCAACCUGCCCAUCACUUGGGGAUAACCUUGCGAAAGUAAGACUAAUACCCAAUGACGUCUCUAGAAGACAUCUGAAAGAGAUUAAAGAUUUAUCGGUGAUGGAUGGGGAUGCGUCUGAUUAGCUUGUUGGCGGGGUAACGGCCCACCAAGGCGACGAUCAGUAGGGGUUCUGGGAGGAAGGUCCCCCACAUUGGAACUGAGACACGGUCCAAACUCCUACGGGAGGCAGCAGUGAGGAAUAUUGGUCAAUGGGCGAGAGCCUGAACCAGCCAAGUAGCGUACAGGAUGACGGCCCUAUGGGUUGUAAACUGCUUUUAUAAGGGAAUAAAGUGGGAGUCGUGACUCCUUUUGCAUGUACCUUAUGAAUAAGGACCGGCUAAUUCCGUGCCAGCCGCCGCGGUAA